rnacentral:rRNA from 1 species
UACGAAGGGGGCUAGCGUUGCUCGGAAUCACUGGGCGUAAAGGGUGCGUAGGCGGGUCUUUAAGUCAGGGGUGAAAUCCUGGAGCUCAACUCCAGAACUGCCUUUGAUACUGAAGAUCUUGAGUUCGGGAGAGGUGAGUGGAACUGCGAGUGUAGAGGUGAAAUUCGUAGAUAUUCGCAAGAACACCAGUGGCGAAGGCGGCUCACUGGCCCGAUACUGACGCUCAUGUGCGAAAGCGUGGGGAGCAAACAGG